rnacentral:rRNA from 1 species
AUUGAACGCUGGCGGCAGGCUUAACACAUGCAAGUCGAGCGGGGAAGAGUAGCUUGCUACUUGACCUAGCGGCGGACGGGUGAGUAAUGCUUAGGAAUCUGCCUAUUAGUGGGGGACAACAUCUCGAAAGGGAUGCUAAUACCGCAUACGUCCUACGGGAGAAAGCAGGGGACCUUCGGGCCUUGCGCUAAUAGAUGAGCCUAAGUCGGAUUAGCUAGUUGGUGGGGUAAAGGCCUACCAAGGCGACGAUCUGUAGCGGGUCUGAGAGGAUGAUCCGCCACACUGGGACUGAGACACGGCCCAGACUCCUACGGGAGGCAGCAGUGGGGAAUAUUGGACAAUGGGGGGAACCCUGAUCCAGCCAUGCCGCGUGUGUGAAGAAGGCCUUUUGGUUGUAAAGCACUUUAUGCGAGGAGGAGGCUACCGAGAUUAAUACUCUUGGAUAGUGGACGUUACUCGCAGAAUAAGCACCGGCUAACUCUGUG